CAGUGCUUGAGGAGCAAACGCUAGCGCAUCUGUGGGGAUUCAUGAGUCGGGUCUGGUAACGCAAUAUGAAUUAACACUGUUUAUAAUCUUGAAGCGAGCCCCGGUCGCUCCGUCCCGGAACGUCACCGGUAACGCUGAAAUCGCCCACAACCGCACACAGCGCUGCAACGACCCGCUGUGGGAGAGAGCUAGCAGGCUUCCGGGAUGGGAGUCGGCCCUUCCCGGAGCUUGGGGGUGGCAGGGCUCCCCCCGGGAAUUCCACCGGCAGCUCCCGCUCCCGCCCGUGCCCCGCCGUGCUCCGCGCAGCCAGCAGGCGGCGCUGUGGGGCCGUGCCGCCCGCGGUUCCUGUGGCCAGGGAAUGGCAGCGAAGGGAGCGGUCACGGCGUCUGAGCCCCGGGGGCAGCGGAGGUGCCGAGUUCGGGCUUUAAGCAGCGGUCCCUCCGUCGGAAUGGGAGGACAUCGUUUCCCUGCCCAUUGAGACUGCACCGUGGAGCAGCAUGAAAGGAUUGCUGUACAGCUGUGCUGGGGCUUCAAGAACAUCAGAGAAAGGAGAAAAACAAGCCCAAGAUCCCAGCAGUUGUGUUCUGAGGACAGGCAUUCCUGAUUGCUUUCCCAAAGUGCAUGACUGGAAUCCACCUUCUCUCCAUACAGGAUGUAGCAGAGAACAGUGCCUCUUCUGAGCCCUUUUCAAAGAAAGAAGUGACGUCUCCCGUGAUUCUCCUCAAAGCCCUAGUUUUAAAUCCUCCUUAAAUGCCCUGUAGUCCAGCAGCACAGUCACCACAUCAGAUCCCAAAGGUACCCUGGUGUGAGCAAGAGCUUAGGGUGAAAUCUGCCAUUCAAAUCCUCUGGUUGGAAGUGGAAAGACCUAUCCCUCUGUUCUGGGGACCAGACUUUGUUUUGAGUUUCUGACAUUUAAACUGUUUGUA